rnacentral:rRNA from 1 species
CCUACGGGUGGCAGCAGUGAGGAAUAUUGGUCAAUGGACGAGAGUCUGAACCAGCCACGUAGCGUGAAGGAUGACUGCCCUAUGGGUUGUAAACUUCUUUUAUAUGGGAAUAAAACGUUCCACGUGUGGGAUUUUGUAUGUACCAUAUGAAUAAGGAUCGGCUAAAUCCGUGCCAGCAGCCGCGGUAAUAAGGAGGAUCCGAGCGUUAUCCGGAUUUAUUGGGUUUAAAGGGAGCGUAGGUGGAUUGGUAAGUCAGUUGUGAAAGUGUGCGGCUCAACCGUAAAAUGGCAGUUGAAACUGGCAGUCUUGAGUACAGUAGAGGUGGGCGGAAUUCGUGGUGUAGCGGUGAAAUGCUUAGAUAUCACGAAGAACUCCGAUUGCGAAGGCAGUUCACUGGACUGCAACUGACACUGAGGCUCGAAAGUGUGGGUAUCAAACAGGAUUAGAUACCCGUGUAGUC